CCACGAAGCUGGAUUCGCUAGUAAUCGCGCAUCAGCCAUGGCGCGGUGAAUACGUUCCCGGGCCUUGUACACACCGCCCGUCAAGCCAUGAAAGCCGGGGGCGCCUGAGGUCCGUGACCGCGAGGGUCGGCCUAGGGUGAAACCGGUGAUUGGGGCUAAGUCGUAACAAGGUAGC
rnacentral:rRNA from 1 species